rnacentral:rRNA from 1 species
UACGUAGGGUGCAAGCGUUUAAUCGGAAUUACUGGGCGUAAAGCGUGCGCAGGCGGUUUUGUAAGUCAGAUGUGAAAUCCCCGGGCUUAACCUGGGAACUGCGUUUGAAACUACAAGGCUAGAGUGUGGCAGAGGGGGGUGGAAUUCCGACGUGUAGCAGUGAAAUGCGUAGAGAUGUGGAGGAACACCGAUGGCGAAGGCAGCCCCCUGGGUUAACACUGACGCUCAGGCGACGAAAGCGUGGGGAGCAA